CUCGUCUGAUCUGAGGUCG
rnacentral:rRNA from 1 species